GUUGGAAGCACAUCAAAAUGGCGAUUUGACGAUGGACAAGACAUGAACUAUUUUCAAUGGAAUUACGGAAAAGGUCAGCCGCAACUUAGAUAUGGAGAAAAUGCUAUAGUUAUGCAAAAGAUAUGGGGUAGUCUGUGGCAUGAUACACCUCUUUCUACACAGGUAAUGUUCGUCUGUGAAAUCCUACUGUGAACCGGAAGAUAUUACUUAGCUGUAUAGUUGCUGCUGCGCAUAUCUGAGGAAUUUACGCACGUA
rnacentral:lncRNA from 1 species